rnacentral:rRNA from 1 species
GAUGAACGCUGGCGGCGUGCCUAAUACAUGCAAGUCGAGCGAACAGACGAGGAGCUUGCUCCUCUGACGUUAGCGGCGGACGGGUGAGUAACACGUGGAUAACCUACCUAUAAGACUGGGAUAACUGCGGGAAACCGGAGCUAAUACCGGAUAAUAUAUUGAACCGCAUGGUUCAAUAGUGAAAGACGGUUUUGCUGUCACUUAUAGAUGGAUCCGCGCCGCAUUAGCUAGUUGGUAAGGUAACGGCUUACCAAGGCAACGAUGCGUAGCCGACCUGAGAGGGUGAUCGGCCACACUGGAACUGAGACACGGUCCAGACUCCUACGGGAGGCAGCAGUAGGGAAUCUUCCGCAAUGGGCGAAAGCCUGACGGAGCAACGCCGCGUGAGUGAUGAAGGUCUUCGGAUCGUAAAACUCUGUUAUUAGGGAAGAACAAAUGUGUAAGUAACUAUGCACGUCUUGACGGUACCUAAUCAGAAAGCCACGGCUAACUACGUG